AUUAAUUGCUAAAAGUCUGCUGCAAGUUUGUUACAAGUUGUGCGUAAUAAAGUACACCAAUACCGAGGCCAAUACUCCAUUGAAUAACUCAUUAUCAUAGUACUACACGAAGUUUCCAUGCUAUACCUCUGAACUUUAAUACUGUGGGCUCAAACGAAGAAAGUGGGAGCAGUGAGUGGGAGUGGAACACUGAUAUCAGUGGAGUGGAACCACUGAGAGGUUCAAAUUUAGAAAUGAAAAUGAAACUAGUAUUGUCAAGACGUGCUCGAGAGAAAUGUGGAGAUUAUGACGGUUGUUAAAAGGUGUUUUUCCUACUACAUAUAUUUUGCAAUGGAGACAACAACAUCAGACAAAAGUAUGUUUAGUAUGUUUUAAUAGAAGCCUGGCGUACCCGCCAGAAAUAUUGAUGGCUACGUGGCUACGCAGUGAGUUUUAAAUUAAAACGAGUCGUUCGUAUAAUAAUUGCGUAAUUAUAAGGUAGAUAUAUUUCUCACUGGUUAUACGCAGUGAGUUUUUAAGGGAACGAGAAAUUGAUAUAAUGAUGUAAUUGUGAGGAAGGUAUAUUAUUUAGUGGCUACGCAGUGAC